GAUGAACGCUGGCGGCGUGCCUAAUACAUGCAAGUCGAGCGAACAGACGAGGAGCUUGCUCCUCUGACGUUAGCGGCGGACGGGUGAGUAACACGUGGAUAACCUACCUAUAAAACUGGGAUAACUUCGGGAAACCGGAGCUAAUACCGGAUAAUAUAUUGAACCGCAUGGCUCAAUAGUGAAAGACGGUUUUGCUGUCACUUAUAGAUGGAUCCGCGCCGCAUUAGCUAGUUGGUAAGGUAACGGCUUACCAAGGCAACGAUGCGUAGCCGACCUGAGAGGGUGAUCGGCCACACUGGAACUGAGACACGGUCCAGACUCCUACGGGAGGCAGCAGUAGGGAAUCUUCCGCAAUGGGCGAAAGCUUGACGGAGCAACGCCGCGUGAGUGAUGAAGGUCUUCGGAUCGUAAAACUCUGUUAUUAGGGAAGAACAAAUGUGUAAGUAACUAUGCACGUCUUGACGGUACCUAAUCAGAAAGCCACGGCUAACUACGUG
rnacentral:rRNA from 1 species